UACGGAAGGCAGCAGGGGGAAUCUUGCGCAAUGGGCGAAAGCCUGACGCAGCCAUGCCGCGUGAAUGAUGAAGGUCUUAGGAUUGUAAAAUUCUUUCACCGGGGACGAUAAUGACGGUACCCGGAGAAGAAGCCCCGGCUAACUUCGUGCCAGCAGCCGCGGUAAUACGAAGGGGCUAGCGUUGCUCGGAAUUACUGGGCGUAAAGGGAGCGUAGGCGGACAUUUAAGUCAGGGGUGAAAUCCCGGGGCUCAACCUCGGAAUUGCCUUUUGAUACUGGGUGUCUUGAGUAUGAGAGAGGUGUGUGGAACUCCGAGUGUAGAGGUGAAAUUCGUAGAUAUUCGGAAGAACACCAGUGGCGAAAGGCGACACACUGGCUCAUUACUGACGCUGAGGCUCGAAAGCGUGGGGAGCAAACAGGGAUUAGAUACC
rnacentral:rRNA from 1 species